AUUGAACGCUGGCGGCAGGCCUAACACAUGCAAGUCGAACGGUAGCACAGAGAGCUUGCUCUCGGGUGACGAGUGGCGGACGGGUGAGUAGUGUCUGGGAAACUGCCCGAUGGAGGGGGAUAACUACUGGAAACGGUAGCUAAUACCGCAUGACGUCGCAAGACCAAAGUGGGGGACCUUCGGGCCUCACACCAUCGGAUGUGCCCAGAUGGGAUUAGCUAGUAGGUGGGAUAAUGGCUCACCUAGGCGACGAUCCCUAGCUGGUCUGAGAGGAUGACCAGCCACACUGGAACUGAGACACGGUCCAGACUCCUACGGGAGGCAGCAGUGGGGAAUAUUGCACAAUGGGCGCAAGCCUGAUGCAGCCAUGCCGCGUGUAUGAAGAAGGCCUUCGGGUUGUAAAGUACUUUCAGCGGGGAGGAAGGCGGUGAAGUUAAUAGCUUCACCGAUUGACGUUACCCGCAGAAGAAGCACCGGCUAACUCCGUGCCAGCCGCCGCGGUAA
rnacentral:rRNA from 1 species